ensembl:lncRNA novel transcript
GACCAUGUUGAGCCCUACUUUUGUUCUGUGGGAUGUUGGAUAUCCCUUAUACACCUAUGGCUCCAUCUUCAUCGUUAUUGUAAUUAUCUGGCAAGUGAAAAGGAGCCACCAUGAAUUGAACUUGGAAGUUGAAAGGAGCUGCUGCUGGCGUCACCAAAAAGUCAGGCAAAGAGCUAGAGAUGCAGCAUCAACAGGUGAAGUCCCAAUCUCUCCUCUGACUCCCUUCCACUGUGGGUGUUUCCUAUGAAUCCUGUCCCUCUAUGACCCCUGGAGCCAAGAGCCAGGUGCUCUGCCACUGAAGACUCCAGUUCCCCAGACUGAAACUUCCAUGGGUGGGAAAUCUUACCUUGGAAACGUUCCAAAAUUCUCUACAUUAUUCCCAUGGGAAUAAAGAAUUGAGGAAAUA